rnacentral:rRNA from 2 species
GACCUCGGAUCAGGUAGGGAUACCCGCUGAAC